rnacentral:rRNA from 1 species
CCUACGGGAGGCAGCAGUGAGGAAUAUUGGUCAAUGGACGAGAGUCUGAACCAGCCAAGUAGCGUGAAGGAUGAAUGCCCUAUGGGUUGUAAACUUCUUUUAUAUGGGAAUAAAAUGUUCCACGUGUGGGAUUUUGUAUGUACCAUAUGAAUAAGAAUCGGCUAACUCCGUGCCAGCAGCCGCGGUAAGACGGAGGAUCCGAGCGUUAUCCGGAUUUAUUGGGUUUAAAGGGAGCGUAGGUGGAUUGUUAAGUCAGUUGUGAAAGUUUGCGGCUCAACCGUAAAAUUGCAGUUGAAACUGGCAGUCUUGAGUACAGUAGAGGUGGGCGGAAUUCGUGGUGUAGCGGUGAAAUGCUUAGAUAUCACGAAGAACUCCGAUUGCGAAGGCAGUUCACUGGACUGCAACUGACACUGAGGCGCGAAAGUGUGGGUAUCAAACAGGAUUAGAUACCCUGGUAGUC